GGCUCAGAAUCAACGCUGCGGGCGCGCCUAACACAUGCAAGUCGCACGAGAAAGCUGGAGCAAUCUGGUGAGUAAAGUGGCGUACGGGUGAGUAACACGUGGGUUACCUACCCUCUGGUGGGGAAUAACCUUGGGAAACCGGGGCUAAUACCGCAUAAUUCCGAGAGGAAAAAGCCGAAAGGCGCCGGAGGAGGGGCCCGCGGCCGAUUAGCUAGUUGGUAGGGUAACGGCCUACCAAGGCAACGAUCGGUAGCCGGCCUGAGAGGGCACACGGCCACACUGGCACUGAAACACGGGCCAGACUCCUACGGGAGGCAGCAGUGGGGAAUCUUGCACAAUGGGGGAAACCCUGAUGCAGCGACGCCGCGUGAGCGAUGAAGCCCUUCGGGGUGUAAAGCUCUUUCGGCAGGAAAGAUAAUGACGGUACCUGCAGAAGAAGCUGCGGCUAACUACGUGCCAGCAGCCGCGGUAAUACGUAGGCAGCGAGCGUUGUUCGGAGUUACUGGGCGUAAAGAGUGUGUAGGCGGUUUGCCAAGUUCGGUGUGAAAUCUCCCGGCUUAACUGGGAGGGUGCGCCGAAUACUGGCAGGCUAGAGUGCGGGAGAGGAAAGCGGAAUUCCUGGUGUAGCGGUGAAAUGCGUAGAUAUCAGGAGGAACACCUGCGGUGUAGACGGCUUUCUGGACCGCCACUGACGCUGAGACACGAAAGCGUGGGUAGCAAACAGGAUUAGAUACCCUGGUAGUCCACGCCCUAAACGAUGCACACUUGGUGUGGGCAGUUCAUUCUGUCCGUGCCGUAGUUAACGCGUUAAGUGUGCCGCCUGGGGAGUACGGUCGCAAGGCUGAAACUCAAAG
rnacentral:rRNA from 1 species